CCCCGACCGCUUCAACGCAGAGCAUGAACGGAACAGGCUCGCGGAGGUGGGACCUGGCUGUCACUUGAGGCGAGGCGUUCUAUUGGCUUUGGUUCUCAAACUUUUUGUGUGUGUUUUGAUGCUAAAGAAAUAUGACCCUUCUAUAAAGAACUUCAGCUUAGGUUCAACUCCCAGCCCUGUUGCCAACUAUGUGACACUGGAUUACAGCACCAUGAAGGGAGGCAUGUCAAAGUCAGGAAGACUAGAACAUUGUAAUAGUACCCUACUGACAAAAGAAGGAUGGAGCACUGGGAGAAGUAUAAAGGAGGAGAUCUAAAGCACAUUGAGGAGAUCUGUAACUCUCUUUUCUCUCAGUGAAGAAAUUGAAUCCCAUUCUCCAUAUAAUUUACUUACUUUUCCAACCCCAGAAUAUACAGGGACUUUUGUUCUUGCAGUACUGAAGAUUCAACUCCGGGCCUUAAAUAUUCUAGACAAGUGUUCUACCACUAAGCUACAUCUCUAGCCCAACAUUUUAGCAAAGAAAUAUUUGAAUAAAGUAAUUUUGCAAUUGUAUCAUUA